GACGAACGCUGGCGGCGUGCCUAAUACAUGCAAGUCGAGCGAUGAUUGAAGAUAGCUUGCUAUUUUCAUGAAGAGCGGCGAACGGGUGAGUAACGCGUGGGAAAUCUGCCGAGUAGCGGGGGACAACGUUUGGAAACGAACGCUAAUACCGCAUAACAAUGAGAAUCGCAUGAUUCUUAUUUGAAAGAAGCAAUUGCUUCACUACUUGAUGAUCCCGCGUUGUAUUAGCUAGUUGGUAGUGUAAAGGACUACCAAGGCGAUGAUACAUAGCCGACCUGAGAGGGUGAUCGGCCACACUGGGACUGAGACACGGCCCAGACUCCUACGGGAGGCAGCAGUAGGGAAUCUUCGGCAAUGGGGGCAACCCUGACCGAGCAACGCCGCGUGAGUGAAGAAGGUUUUCGGAUCGUAAAACUCUGUUGUUAGAGAAGAACGUUAAGUAGAGUGGAAAAUUACUUAAGUGACGGUAUCUAACCAGAAAGGGACGGCUAACUACGUGCCAGCCGCCGCAGUAACAC
rnacentral:rRNA from 1 species